rnacentral:rRNA from 1 species
AUACGAGGGGUGCAAGCGUUAAUCGGAAUUACUGGGCGUAAAGCGUUCGUAGGCGGUUUGUUAAGCAAGAUGUGAAAGCCCUGGGCUCAACCUGGGAACUGCAUUUUGAACUGGCAAGCUAGAAUACUGUAGAGGGUGGUGGAAUUUCCAGUGUAGCGGUGAAAUGCGUAGAGAUUGGAAGGAACAUCAGUGGCGAAGGCGGCCACCUGGACAGAUAUUGACGCUGAGGAACGAAAGCGUGGGGAGCGAACAGGAUUAGAAACCCCUGUAGUCC